GAUGAACGCUGGCGGCGUGCCUAAUACAUGCCAGUCGAGCGAACGGACGAGAAGCUUGCUUCUCUGAUGUUGGCGGCGGACGGGUGAGUAACACGUGGAUAACCUACCUAUAAGACUGGGAUAACUUCGGGAAACCGGAGCUAAUACCGGAUGAUAUUUUGAACCGCAUGGUUCAAAAGUGAAAGACGGUCUUGCUGUCACUUAUAGAUGGAUCCGCGCUGCAUUAGCUAGUUGGUAAGGUAACGGCUUACCAAGGCAACGAUGCAUAGCCGACCUGAGAGGGUGAUCGGCCACACUGGAACUGAGACACGGUCCAGACUCCUACGGGAGGCAGCAGUAGGGAAUCUUCCGCAAUGGGCGAAAGCCUGACGGAGCAACGCCGCGUGAGUGAUGAAGGUCUUCGGAUCGUAAAACUCUGUUAUUAGGGAAGAACAUAUGUGUAAGUAACUGUGCACAUCUUGACGGUACCUAAUCAGAAAGCCACGGCUAACUACGUG
rnacentral:rRNA from 1 species